GAACGCACAUUGCGCCCUCUGGUAUUCCGGGGGGCAUGCCUGUUCGAGCGUCAUUAUAACCACUCAAGCUCUCGCUUGGUAUUGGGGUUCGCGGUUUCGCGGCCCCUAAAAUCAGUGGCGGUGCCUCUCGGCUCUACGCGUAGUAAUACUCCUCGCGAUUGAGUCCGGUAGGUUUACUUGCCAGCAACCCCCAAUUUUUACAGGUUGACCUCGGAUCAGGUAGGGAUACCCGCUGAACUUAAG
rnacentral:misc_RNA from 1 species